CAGCCGCCACGGGAAUACAGAGGGUGCGAGCGUUAAUCGGAUUUACUGGGCGUAAAGCGUGCGUAGGCGGCUUCUUAAGUCGGAUGUGAAAUCCCUGAGCUUAACUUAGGAAUUGCAUUCGAUACUGGGAAGCUAGAGUAUGGGAGAGGAUGGUAGAAUUCCAGGUGUAGCGGUGAAAUGCGUAGAGAUCUGGAGGAAUACCGAUGGCGAAGGCAGCCAUCUGGCCUAAUACUGACGCUGAGGUACGAAAGCAUGGGGAGCAAACAGGAUUAGAUACCCGCGUAGUCCCUGUCCUUAUACA
rnacentral:rRNA from 1 species